rnacentral:rRNA from 1 species
GACGAACGCUGGCGGCGUGCUUAACACAUGCAAGUCGAACGGAAAGGCCCUGCUUUUGUGGGGUGCUCGAGUGGCGAACGGGUGAGUAACACGUGAGUAACCUGCCCUUGACUUUGGGAUAACUUCAGGAAACUGGGGCUAAUACCGGAUAGGAGCUCCUGCUGCAUGGUGGGGGUUGGAAAGUUUCGGCGGUUGGGGAUGGACUCGCGGCUUAUCAGCUUGUUGGUGGGGUAGUGGCUUACCAAGGCUUUGACGGGUAGCCGGCCUGGGAGGGUGACCGGCCACAUUGGGACUGAGAUACGGCCCAGACUGCUACGGGAGGCAGCAGUGGGGAAUAUUGCACAAUGGGCGGAAGCCUGAUGCAGCAACGCCGCGUGCGGGAUGACGGCCUUCGGGUGGUAAACCGCUUUCGCCUGUGACGAAGCGUGAGUGACGGUAAUGGGUAAAGAAGCACCGGCUAACUACGUG